UACGAAAGGGGGGCUAGCGUUGCUCGGAAUCACUGGGCGUAAAGCGCACGUAGGCGGCUUUUUAAGUCAGGGGUGAAAUCCUGGAGCUCAACUCCAGAACUGCCUUUGAUACUGAGAAGCUUGAGUCCGGGAGAGGUGAGUGGAACUGCGAGUGUAGAGGUGAAAUUCGUAGAUAUUCGCAAGAACACCAGUGGCGAAGGCGGCUCACUGGCCCGGUACUGACGCUGAGGUGCGAAAGCGUGGGGAGCAA
rnacentral:rRNA from 1 species